UUGCUGGCAAACUUAAUUUUAUUUCAAUAUAACAUAUUUGUUAAAGUAGAAUAUAGAUUUCAUUUUUGAAAGACAAUGUCAAAUACAUUUUUUCUGGAGAAAAAGACCAUUCCACCAUCUCAAAUAUACUCAGUAUAUACCACCAUCUCAGUAGUAUACUGCAGGAAGGGCAUGGACGAUUAUUAUAUUAAUUUAGUUCCUACAUUCAUUGUUUGCUUGCUGUGAUUAUACAGAAUCCUUUAUAAGACGUAAAGAUGUGAUUUCCUCAGUCCUAGAAGGCUGUCCAGAAGUAUCUUUGGCAAGAUACAUGACAUGAGCUGCUUUGAAAAAGGAGUUGCUUUUUCUUUCCAGAGAUUUUUCACAUCAACAAAUCAGCCCCUCUCAUCUCAGGUUAAGCUAUCUCAGCAUAAUCACUGAUACCACAGGGUUUGCAGGAAGCAAAAAGGAGCACUGUGAAGGUUUCAGGUCAAAUAUUAAUCUACCUGACAGGAGCAUGUCUGGAAAGUUUCAUCUUCAACAUUCCAGUGAUGCCUAAAUCCUUCCCACCUGCUGGAAUGACAUUGAUUUCCAAAUUAUAAGGAAAGCUCCAGAACCAUUUAUGCAUGAGGCCCAAGCUCUUUCAUCUUCAUUGAUUAGGAGACACCAGCUCAUAUUUGAUACACUUAUAAACCCAUAUAUUACUAAAAGGUCAGUUGAGCAGAUAUGUCAGCUGAGUUGUGUGCAAAGGCAGUUGAUUUUACCCUUAAAUUAAGGAUAGAAUCAAUUGUGGAAAUAAUUUUGUACUCUGUGAUCACACUGAAUUUAUCCAAGAUUUUUUGUUAAACAUUGGCUCCAGUAGAACUGUUUCCCAGUAUUCUAAAACAAUCUUUAAGGCAUUGCUCUGGAGGAAAUUGUGGGACUCUUCAGAAUACAAAUUUGAGAGAACCCAGACUGUUUAGAAAACUGAGAUAUCUUAAAAGUGUACAGUAAGAAUUUUCAGCACUAGCUUAAAAUAUAAACUGGAGACAUUUAUGCCUGAAGUAGUCAUUCUCUUUGAGCUUGUCAUUACAGGAGUGUGAGGGCAAGACUCAUCUGGUCUAGUUUAUGCUGAAAUUAAAUGCAUUAAGUGUGCUAAUUUUUUUCUCCAGUAACUAUGAAGGGAGUGAGGAUGACUAGAUGACACAUAAAUGUCUAUAUCCUAGGUAACUAAAACUAGUUGCUAUGUCUCCCACACUACAGAUCUGAAAGAAUUACCCUUGCACUCAAGCAACAAAAAGAACCCAAUUUUCAGGUUAUUUCUAAAAUGAGGGGGAAAAUCAUAUGUACACAUAGUACUUGAAACUACAAUAGGAGAACAGUUGGAAGAAUUGAAUGUGAACAAAGCUGGACAGACAGAGAAACAAGCAUUGGUUAAAAAUUUGGGAUUAAAUGAGAUUUGUAGCAAAAUUCCUCCAGGCCCUAGUCUGUGCCUGAUUUUAUUCAUUUUUUGGUAAAAAUAAUUUGUGCGCAUGAUUAAGAGACUAACAGGCCCUCUCUAUGAAAAUCACACUGCACUGCAUGUGGUUCUUCAUGACACAGCAAGGGAGGAAAUCUGUGUCGCAUGGGCCAACGCAGUUAUCUAAGGCACUUCCAUCCUGAGAACAGGAGUAAAGUCCAGUUGUACUUUGAUGAUCCCUGUGGAUCCCUUCCAGCUCCAGAUAUUCUGAGUUAAUGUCCAUCCAUCACCACUGUCAUUUCUAUUAGUCACCUCAGAAGGCCCAGAGAAGAACAAGUAGGGGAUGCAAUUUUAUCAUCAAAAGUUACAUUCUAAAUAAAAUUUUCUAGAAAAUAAUUUUUCAUCAUCUUGAAAUAGCAGAAGGAAAGAAAGACCUGAAUAUCCUUAUUCUGUCAAAUAGUGUCAUGUGACUCUAAGUAGGCAAAAAUAAUCCUGGAAUGCUUCAGGCAAAGUGAUAGAAAUAGAGACGUGUUGAUGUCAUUAUAUAAGGUGCUAGAAAAUUCUCCUCUGAAAUACUGGAUCCAGUCCAUGUUCAAAGACUGAAUUUAAACUAGAACAAACUUGGAGAAUAACCUCUCUACAGAUCUGUAAAAUAAAAAUGGAGGUAAUAUAUAUGAAAUAUCAUAAAUAUCUGUAAGCAAACAUGGUGCAAACCACCAGAGAGAAAAAAAAAGAGCUAUUAAGUUAAUAGAUACUGUUGGCACAGUAGCAAAAUGGUGUGAAGCAGUAAUGAACACUUUUAAACUGCAAGUUAGGAGAUUUCUAAUACCAGGAACAGCUUUCAACCAGAAGCAGGAGGGUGAGAAAUCUUAGCCAAUUUUAUAAUGAGUCUUGCGGAAUUUAUAAACAGGUUUCAGUUGCCUAUAACAACAGGGAGCAGGGCUUUAUGACCCACUAAGUUUUUCUGGUCUUAUGCUGAAAGAUGCAGAAAGCACUGGUCAAAGAGAUUCUGCUUGUUCAUUUAAAUGGGAAAUUUUCACAUAAGUUUUAUAGGUAUAAACACUGGUUACGUGUUUACUUUCAUGGUAUUAAAUGAAUGCACUCUUUGGUGACUUAUUUUGAGAAUCUCUUAUUAUACUUUAGCAUUAUUUUUAGUUAUACAAGUAAAAUUAGUUGUUUUCAUUUAUAGUUGGGCUAUAAGUGGCUUGGGUGUUAGGUGUGCUUCUUAUUAUUCAUAUAUGUAUUUAUAAUAAGACAAAAGAGAAAGGAGAGAUGCUUAGGUUGUUUUUUUUGGGUUGGUUUUUUUUUUGCUUACCCUUUGGCUUUUCCUAUGUUGCUAUUUGUUGAAAUACAGUUUUAUUCACUGCAUGAUAAUGUUCCACAUUUGUUCCUGAAAAAAGUAGAAU